GCUUUAUUACAAGGAUUUAAAAUCGCUCGGUCUUCGUCGCACCCGUUGGUCCCGUUGCGCGUUCCGUACCUCGAUACGCCGGUGGUAAACCCAAGGCAAACGACCGCGGAUACAACCGAACCACCCUGUAGGAUUAUACCUGUUUUAACACGGGACACUUCACACCGAUGUAAGCGUAACGUUUGCGCGUCUCUUUUCCAUAGAGGCAGAAGCGAUCGAAGAAUAUGGGAAAAUCGUCUAUCGCCGAACGCGAUAACGUUCUCGCCUGGGCCCAAAAUUCGGACGCGGCAAGGUCGAUUUCUCGUACACCGUAAAUCAACAACGGCUUGUAAGCGACGACCGCCGAGGAUAUCCUCAGUUGCAGUCCGAACGCCCACGAAACUGGAUCUCCGGGGACGGCGGUAGUCCGUCGGAUCGACGUACGGAUGCGACGCAGACUGGGGGACUUGAAAACGUUCGAUGAGCCCCGCUUGGAAACACGAGUAUUUUCUACCAUCUGCCCCCGACGACGUCGCGAUGCACGCCUGCACUGCAACCAAGGCCGACGACUUCGUGGCUGGCCAGAGUUGCCGUAAGUAUAAACGAAAUAAGAAAUGAAAAAAAAAAAAAAACAA